GGGGUGGGAAAGCAGAGAAAGGGGGGGUGUGAGGUGGGGGGGGACGCGUUGCACCUCGGUUUUGGAAAAGGUCUCUCGGGUUAAAAGGCACGGACGGGGCUUUUGACAUCUGCUCCUGCAGCGCGCGUUUUAGGGAGGAAAAGUGUGGAAUCGAGCAGCUGGCCCUCGAUCGCCAGAAGAAAUUAAGUGACACAGGGUGUAAUUAAUUGACAAGAAACUUAACAACCCAUAUGGGAACUGGUAGUCCCAUGAAUCUGAUUAUGAUAAAAAAACCACAACCAAAUAAUCCCAGGAAAGCUGUAACGGUGAAAAUCUCCCUGCCUCCCCCUUCCCAGCCUCCUUUUAUGUGAAGAUAACAGCAACAAAACCAUCCGUGACAUCUUUCCUUACCUCUCAAAGAGAGAGAAAAAAAAACCACCAGAAAGACCCCAAGCCUCCGAGUUGGUCUGAGAUGUGAGAAAUCACCAUUUACCUUGUGUUUAAACCUUGUCAAACCCGUACUCAGCACUGUGCGAGCACGCAGGUACGGGACUGGUAUCAUCCGAGGGUGGUUUUCUCCUUCCUUCCCUCCCUUCUUCCCCAAGUAUGAUGAGUGUCAGCUUUGACGAGGGUGGUUUUGAUUAAUUCUUCCUGACACUCCGUGUAUCGCUGGUGUACUCCUGGGGGUUUCUUACCACGGUAACGUUUGUACUCUCUAUCCGUAACGGCGAACUGGGGAAGAUGCUGCUGCCCACAGGUGUGUGAGCCGAGGGGGUUUGGGCUGCCCUGGGUCCCCAAAAGCCUCUGUUGGCAGAUGCUGAGCCCAGGAAAAAGCGGCUGGAAAAUCCCCCCUCUGGCUCUGCGGAUGGAGACGGAUGGCUCCCGGGAGCGACCGCCCAAAGCUAAGCCCCAGCGUUUUCGCGUCCACUUGAAAUGCGUUGCUGCUGGUUUCACUCUUUUUUUCCCUGUUCUGUGUGUGGUUUUUUUGGUUUUUUUGUUUUUGUUUUUUUUUUUGUCCCCACUCCAGCCCGCCGGGGUUGUGUCCUUCCCUUUGCCCCAUCCGAGGAGACCCGCUGUCCCCCCUCUCGGUAACGCUGUUCUAACUCUUCACCAGAAUGUAUUUCCUCUUCAAAAUACUUAGGGUAGGUUUUGGCGGCCGGUGGUUUUCUGGAUUGCAUAGGCCUUUUGAUUUUCUUGGGUUUUUUUCCUUUUUUUUUCAAGCAGGAGAGGUGUUAGCCCGCUCUGAGAACAGCCGGGCUCGCUUUCCUGCUCUGCCUCCACUCUCUGACUGCGUGGCCUUGGGCAAGUCACUCGACCUCUCUGUGCCUCAGUUCUCCCAUCUGUAAAAUGGGGAUAAAGUCAUAUUUGAGCACUUUGGACGAGCGCUCGGUCGCCUACAAGACUGCAAGCGCUACGUAAAUGCUGAGUGCUAACACCAAGUGAUCCCUACCUUUUAAAAUAUUUAGAGAUUUCUUUUUUUUAUUAAUUAUUAUUAUUAUUUUUUGAAGUGGUAAAAUCAACCGCUGCAUCCAGGUUUGCACACUUCUUCCUCUGUGGUAAAGUGCUAAACCCUCCAGCCUGCCUGGGAAUAAAAAUAGCCAGUGUUUCAUGUGGAUGAGUGGAUUCAGGCUGUAGAAGAAGCAUCAAGGAGAGUCGAGGAGCCUGUAGGCAUGUUUUUUGCCCCGGGCUCUCCAUUUGCGUAUGAAGCUUUUGUUUAUUCCCAGGUAGAAUUGCCAAGAGAUUCUCCACAAUCUCGCCUUUAAUUCUGCUUUGCCUUGGUUAUUGCUCUUGCUGCUGGUCCAACCUCCAAGGGCUUAGAUGUUUGGAGAAAGACGUGAGCUCUCUCUCAGCUGGGAUCCGGCUCUCCGACCGCGCCAAGCUUUUAAGGUCGGAGCCUUUUUUUAUCGCUCUGCCUAAAAAUACCUGAUUUUAGAGGUUGUGCUUCCUUUUCCAGCGGGGACGCUUGGAAACCUGCCACCAAAAAAAAAAAAAGCCCACAAAAGCACCACCACCAACAAAAAAAACCCCAACCAAAAGCAGAGCGCCACGUCUUCUCCAGUCUCGAAGCCCUGACUUGGGUUUGAACCGCUUGACAAUGAAUCCUCUGAAUCGAUGACGAGAUAUUUCUGAGCUUUAACAACUUCGUGUAGGUGGUCUUCAAACCCUGAGCAGGUUUGUCUGGGGAAAGAGGGGGGGGGGGUUCUCCUAGAAAUGCCUCUCUCUUUCCAGCCUGCACCAGGGCUUUUUUUAUUGAGUACGUGACGAAGUGACCUGACGUAAGACCCUCAACUCUCAGAGUGAGAAUUCAACUUCGCUAACAGCGUGACUGCGAAAAUUUUUCCUUUGAUUUGAGUGUGUUUUUAGGGAUUUCCCUAGAACCUGCUCGGAUCUGAAUUGAUUUAAUGCCAUUCGCCCGCGGGGCGAAUAAAAAACCACCUCUGGCCUGGCUGAACCUUCAGCUCACCGGUAACUUCACCCCACAGACAGGUGACAAUCGGGGCCGGGGGACACCCUGGUUUUGGUUUGGGGUUGGGGGAGGUGGGGGGGCACGGCGUGGAGGCUUUGUGGCCGUGGCUGACUUGUUCUUCCUUUCGCUCUGGUUGCCUCAACCUCUCUCUAACAGAAGGCUGUUUGUUCUUCUUUUUUUAAUUAUUAUUUUUUAUCAUUUUGAGCGCUUUCCAAACUAUUUAUGGAGCCCGUUUGUAUGGGCCAAGGCGGUGUCUUCAGGCUCUUGAGGUCGCUCCCCUCGGGUGACCGUGCCCCCCAUCCUGGCUCAAGGAGCUCUAAGAGGACUUGGAGUGCAGGGAAGGUUGACGGAGCACGCCGGCUUGCUGGCCACGCUGCUGGAGUGGGAAAUCCCGCCCGGGCGCCUCGUGGAAGCGGCUCUUCCCUAAAAACCAUCCUUAACUCCUUUCCCCGCUAGACCGAGUUAACCUUCCGAUAGACUCAGGCCGUGCUUUGCCAGACGGGCUCUCACCUCUUGCUUUGGCAACCUCCUCGCUUCUCCCAACCCUCUGGUUUCCAUGCCCUGCAGGGGGGUGGCUCCUCUCUCCUCCCGCGGACCUGGGACAUCGAAGCCGUGUCAGACGAUGCCAAACGCUUCCCCCAUUUCAUCCCUGGUCGAACUCCGUUUCGCUUUGGUGGUUUGCAAACACAGCUGCUGCUGCUGCUGCUGCUUCAUUAUUUUCAUUUUUAUUUUUAUUUUUUAUUUUUAUUUUUUCCUUUCAUGCUGCAAAAUAUAUCUUGAUUUUUAUCUUCCUGGGCCAAA